GUUGUAUGGUUAAGUGACAAAGCGUACACGGUGGAUGCCUAGGCAAUCAGAGGCGAAGAAGGACGUGCAAAUCUGCGAAAAGCGUGGGAGAGUCGAUAAGAGGCGCUAUCAUCCCACGAUAUCCGAAUGGGGAAACCCGAUAGAUGAAGAAUCUAUCAUUCCUUUGUGAAUCCAUAGCAAAGGAAGGCAAACCGGGAGAACUGAAACAUCUAAGUACCCCGAGGAAAAGAAAUCAACCGAGAUUCCGUCAGUAGCGGCGAGCGAACGCGGAAGAGCCGUUAGAGAUAAUAAUAAAGCUAAAAGAAGUGGCUGGAAAGCCAAACCAAAGAGGGUGAUAGUCCCGUAUUUGAAAGCGUUAUUAUGGUACUAAGCUAACAACAAGUAGAGCGGGACACGUGAUAUCCUGUUUGAAGAUGGGGGGACCAUCCUCCAAGGCUAAAUACUCCUGAUUGACCGAUAGUGAACCAGUACCGUGAGGGAAAGGCGAAAAGAACCGUGGCGAACGGAGUGAAAUAGAACCUGAAACCGUGUACGUACAAGCAGUGGGAGCCCCUUUUAGGGGUGACUGCGUACCUUUUGUAUAAUGGGUCAGCGACUUAUAUUUUGUAGCAAGGUUAACUGAAUAAGGGAGCCGAAGGGAAACCGAGUCUUAACUGGGCGAUAAGUUGCAAGGUAUAGACCCGAAACCCGGUGAUCUAGCCAUGGGCAGGUUGAAGGUUGGGUAACACUAACUGGAGGACCGAACCGACUACUGUUGAAAAAGUAGCGGAUGACUUGUGGCUGGGGGUGAAAGGCCAAUCAAACCGGGAGAUAGCUGGUUCUCCCCGAAAUCUAUUUAGGUAGAGCCUUGAAUGAAUACCUUUGGGGGUAGAGCACUGUUUCGGCUAGGGGGCCAUCCCGGCUUACCAACCCGAUGCAAACUCCGAAUACCAAAGAGUAAUGUUCAGGAGACACACGGCGGGUGCUAACGUCCGUCGUGGAGAGGGAAAACAACCCAGACCGCCAGCUAAGGUCCCCAAGUCUAUAUUAAGUGGGAAACGAAGUGGGAAGGCUUAGACAGCUAGGAUGUUGGCUUAGAAGCAGCCACCAUUUAAAGAAAGCGUAAUAGCUCACUAGUCGAGUCGGCCUGCGCGGAAGAUGUAACGGGGCUAAAUAUAGCACCGAAGCUGCGGCAUCAGACGUCUGUCUGUUGGGUAGGGGAGCGUUGUGUAAGCCGUUGAAGGUGAAUCGAGAGGUUUGCUGGAGGUAUCACAAGUGCGAGAUCUUUGACAUAAGUAACGAUAAAGGGGGUGAAAAAAACCCCCUCGCCGGAAGACCAAGGGUUCCUGUCCAACGUUAAUCGGGGCAGGGUGAGUCGGCCCCUAAGGCGAGGCUGAAAAAGCGUAGUCGAUGGGAAACGGGUUAAUAUUCCCGUACUUGGAUAAACUGCGAUGUGGGGACGGAGUAGGUUAGGUUAGCGUACUGCUGGAUAUGUACGUUUAAGUUGGUAGGUGGGUGAACUAGGCAAAUCCGGUUCACCGCUAACACUGAGAAAUGAUGACGAGACACUAAGGUGUUGAAGUAACUGAUACCACACUUCCAGGAAAAGCCACUAAGCUUCAGGUUUAUCUAAACCGUACUGAAAACCGACACAGGUGGUCAGGUAGAGAAUACUCAGGCGCUUGAGAGAACUCGGGUGAAGGAACUAGGCAAAAAUAGCACCGUAACUUCGGGAGAAGGUGCGCUGGCGUAGUGUGAAGUUCUUCGCGAAUGGAGCAUGAACCAGUCGAAGUGACCAGCUGGCUGCAACUGUUUAUUAAAAACACAGCACUCUGCAAACACGAAAGUGGACGUAUAGGGUGUGACGCCUGCCCGGUGCUGGAAGGUUAAUUGAUGAUGUUAUCGCAAGAGACGCAUCUGAUCGAAGCCCCAGUAAACGGCGGCCGUAACUAUAACGGUCCUAAGGUAGCGAAAAUUCCUUGUCGGGUAAGUUCCGACCUGCACGAAUGGCGUAAUGAUGGCCAGGCUGUCUCCACCCGAGACUCAGUGAAAUUGAAAUCGCCGUGAAGAUGCGGUGUACCCGCGGCUAGACGGAAAGACCCCGUGAACCUUUACUAUAGCUUGACACUGAACAUUGAAUUUUUAAUGUGUAGGAUAGGUGGGAGACAAUGAAGAUGAGACGCCAGUCUUGUUGGAGUCAACCUUGAAAUACCACCCUUUAACGUUUGAUGUUCUAACGAAGCACCCGCACAGGUGCUCGGACAGUGUCUGGUGGGUAGUUUGACUGGGGCGGUCUCCUCCCAAAGUGUAACGGAGGAGUACGAAGGUUUGCUAAUCACGGUCGGACAUCGUGAGGUUAGUACAAUGGUAUAAGCAAGCUUGACUGCGAGACAGACACGUCGAGCAGGUGCGAAAGCAGGUCAUAGUGAUCCGGUGGUUCUGCAUGGAAGGGCCAUCGCUCAACGGAUAAAAAGGUACUCCGGGGAUAACAGGCUGAUACCGCCCAAGAGUUCAUAUCGACGGCGGUGUUUGGCACCUCGAUGUCGGCUCAUCACAUCCUGGGGCUGAAGUAGGUCCCAAGGGUAUGGCUGUUCGCCAUUUAAAGUGGUACGCGAGCUGGGUUUAGAACGUCGUGAGACAGUUCGGUCCCUAUCUGCCGUGGGCGUUGGAGAAUUGAUUGGGGGUUGCUCCUAGUACGAGAGGACCGGAGUGAACGCACCGCUGGUGUUCGGGUUGUGUCGCCAGACGCAUUGCCCGGUAGCUAAGUGCGGAAGAGAUAAGUGCUGAAAGCAUCUAAGCACGAAACUUGCCAAGAGAUGAGUUCUCCCAGUCUAUAAGACUGUAAGGGUUGUUUAAGACUAAGACGUAGAUAGGCGGGGUGUGUAAGUGUAGUGAUACAUUGAGCUAACCCGUACUAAUUGCCCGAGAGGCUUAACCAUACAACGCUCAA
rnacentral:rRNA from 1 species